UGCCCAGCAAAUCCUAUCCCUACCUCCUCGUGGUACUGGCCGGGGUACGAGUAAUCUUAGGGAAGAUCGAGUAACCAAUCCCGGUGGGAAAUCUGGUCGUAUGCUGACAGGGAAGA
rfam:Aedes aegypti strain Liverpool supercont1.1373 genomic scaffold, whole genome shotgun sequence.